UUCCGGUUGAUCCCGCCGGACCUGACUGCUAUCGGAUUGAUACUAAGCCAUGCGAGUCUUUGUAGUAAUACAAGGCAGACGGCUCAGUAACGCGUAGUCAACCUACCCUAUGGACGGGAAUAAUCUCGGGAAACUGAGCAUAAUACCCGGCGUACCACCAUUCCUGGAAUGGUUGGUGGUUAAAAUGAUUCGUCGCCGUAGGAUGGGACUGCGACCUAUCAGCUUGUUGGUGAGGUAAAGGCCCACCAAGGCGAUUACAGGUACGGGCUCUGAGAGGAGAAGCCCGGAGAUGGGUACUGAGACACGGACCCAGGCCCUAUGGGGCGCAGCAGGCGAGAAAACUUUGCAAUGUGCGAAAGCACGACAAGGUUAAUCCGAGUGAUUUCUGCUAAAGGAAUCUUUUGCCAGUUCUAAAAAUACUAGUGAAUAAGGGGUGGGCAAGUUCUGGUGUCAGCCGCCGCGGUAAAACCAGCACCUCAAGUGGUCAGGAGGAUUAUUGGGCCUAAAGCAUCCGUAGCCUGCUCUGUAAGUUUUCGGUUAAAUCUAUAUGCUCAACGUAUAGGCUGCCGAAAAUACUGCAGUGCUAGGAAGUGGGAGAGGUAGACGGUACUUGAUAGGAAGGGGUAAAAUCCUUUGAUCUAUCGAUGACCACCUGUGGCGAAGGCGGUCUACCAGAACACGUUCGACGG
rnacentral:rRNA from 1 species